ensembl:lncRNA
UUGUGAAAACAGAGUUGUAUCCGAAUUCGAAAUUAAAAAAAAUGUAUAUGUGAGUAACGAAUUAUUAAACGAGCUAUGUUUUAGUCCUUUUAAGAAGUUGUAUAAAUAUUUGAGAAGAGUUAAAUAUGGUAUGAGUGAUGUUUCUAUUGCUACUACUAUUGUAGCUGAUAUUGGUAGUAACAUGGCGUGUGCUAAUUAUGGUAACAGUCGCAUUGAUGAUAGCAACGGCACAUAUACGACUUUGGAAAGAAAGAACAAUACCAACGUAAGAACUGAUCAUGAUGUAUUAUUAAGCUUUAAUUUUGAAGAAACUAAUUUUUCUUGUCAAAAUAGUUAUGCAAAAAAUUUUAUAAACAAUAUGAAACAAGAUUAUCACAGUUAUUUAGAAUAUAAAAAGAAAAAAGUUGAUUACGAAUUAAUCGGUUUUAGUGCUAGCGAAAUUAAAAACACGUUUACUAAUAUAAAAAAAUUAAAAGAAUAUGUAAAUAUGUUUAUAAGUAUUAAAGAUAUAUUAUUGGAAAUAUUUUAUGGUGAUAACGACUUGCUUGAUUCGAUUAACGAAUUUAUAUCAGAAGCAAACAAUAUAAAUGUUAAUUUUACUGACUAUGCUGAAAACAGUAAUACUCGUAAUGAUAAUACAAACAAGAGAAUGCAAUAUGGUACAAGUGAUGAUGUUGGAAACAGAUUGAAUGACAUUUCUUUAAGUGGGAGUUUUUCCGGUCUGCAUGAUAAUGACAUUGAUACGUAUGAAGAUCCGCGUGGUCCUACUUAUAACGGUGAAUCUAAAAACAUACACAACCAAAUAAACUAUUACUUAUACAAAUUUGGUAUUGCUGGUAAAAUAGAAAAAGAAAUAAACUUGAAAUUAUUAAUAAACUGUUUUAUGUCUAGAUUUGCAUAUGAUUAUUUAGUUAUGAUUAACCCUAAUUUAAAAAAAGAACACUCGGAGAAACUUAUUAACUCUGCUUUGUUGUAUAUGUUAAUAAUGAAUAGAAAAAACUUUUUACAUGAGUGUAUAAGUGCUGUUAUAAAUAUAUUAAACAUAUUUAAAAAUUAUAAUUUAAAAUUAAAAUUUUUAAAACAAAAAGAAAAAAAUUUAAAAACAGACAUGAAUAAAGAAUCAAACUGUGAUAAAAAUAAAACUGUUUUAGACAAGCUUAUGAAAAAACAGCAAAAAAUAAUAAACAAAGCAACUAAUACUAUUCAGUUAGGUACAAAAAAUUUAACACAAUUAACAUUAACAGAACGACAUUAUUUUACUAUACGAAAUAAGAAUAAUAAUCAAAAAAUUUUGUAUAAAAAUUUAUGUUACAAUUCAGACUCUUCAGAUGUAUCGACUUGCUAUUUUUCGAGUGACCAAGAUGUUUAUAAUGGUAGGCAGCAGAAAAGUACUGGUUUCUCUGAUAGUGUUGAUGAAUUACCGGGCAAAUUGUGGGUAGAUCAGUUGGAGUGGGGCACACUGGAUAUGCAAAAUGGAAAGGAAGAGAAGGACGACAAGAAUAGAAAGAGUGACAAUAACAACAACAAUAACAAUAACAAUAACAAUAACAAUAACAACAACAACAACAAUAACAACAACAACAAUAACAACAANNNNNNNNNNAACAAUAACAACAACAACAACAAUAACAACAACAACAAUAACAACAAUAACAACAAUAACAACAAUAACAACAAUAACAACAAUAAAGAUUGUUACUACACAUACGAUCCCAGGUUACUCAUUUUUGAAUACAAAAACAACUUAGUGAUAAGACGAAAACAAGUAAAGAUGAUUAAAAAAAUGAAAAGAGAUUUUAUAAAAAAAAAGAAACAAUAUUGUUAUCAAAUGAUUAUGGGUGGAGGUAAAACAACUGUAUUAACACCUUUAUAUUUUUUAAUUUUUUCAAAUUAUUAUUUAGUUUUUAAUAUGUGCCCUCAACCAUUAAUUCAUUUUACAAUUAAUACAUUUAGAUCUCGUUUUUCCUCUAUCAUAAAAAAAAAUAUUUUUUAUUUUAAUUUUAAUCGUUAUAAUCAUAUUACUACUGACCUGUAUAUAAGUUUAUGCUCUGCUUUGGAAAAUAAGUACAUUUUAGUAACUACACCAACAGCUAUAAAAUCAUUAUUUUUAAAAUUGAUAUACACAAUACAAGAGUUGAAUAAUAUUAAAAUAUUUGACAUCAUUAAGCAAAAAGCUAAAACUCAUAUAACAGAUACGUUGAGUAAAUUAUUAGGCUUUCAAAAUGAUGAUAGUUUUUUAAGUACAUCAAAUAGUUCUAACGUAUUAAAAAAAACAAGUGCUGGACUUCAAACAGGGAAAGGAAGUAAUGUUACAACAUGUAUAUCUAAUGUUGGAGGUGUUUCUACUGGUACUGCCAUUAGUGGUGGUACUACUGGAAGUAGUAACGCAAGCCCUUCUGAUUAUAAUACACUAAAAAAACAACUAGAUUUAUCAAUAAGAAUAUUGGACAUAUUAAAUAAAAGCAUUUUAUUAAUUGAUGAAAUAGAUAGCGUUUUACAUCCUCUGAAAAGUGAGUUACAUUGGCCUUAUGGUUCAAAUCGAGAUAUUGACUUAGUAAAUAUUAUACGAAAUUUUACAGACGUUUUUAUGAAUAAUCCAUACUUAAAAUUUUUAUAUGACAAAAAAAAUGAUGAAGUGGAUAUAAAAAAUAUAAAAAUUAUUUCAGUGAAUCAAAACGAAAUAAACAGUAAUUUGAUAAAUAAUAUUAAGCAGUUAAAAGAGCAGGAAUAUAUGAAACAACAAGAGCAACUAGGAAAUGAAUUAGGACGAGAAAAAUUAGUACCUAGAAAAACGAACAAAAAAUAUACAACUGGUGAAAUAAAAAAUUAUACAACAGAUAAUGACAUUUUAUCACUAAACACGAAUAAGAUAAAAAAUAAAAAUAUUAUUGUAGGAUGUAAUAAAAAUUAUGAAUCGCAUACAUAUAAUUAUCAUACUAAUGAUAGUUAUAAUAUAAAUAAUUAUAAAAAGAGCCUUCUUGAAGGUUCUACCUCUUAUGGAUCAGUUAAUACAUCUGUAAGUAAUACUAUGAAUAUGACAAUGAGUAAUACAAAUAAAAUAACUAAAACGGUGACUACAGGAAAUACAAAUAAUUCUACUGUAACUGGUGCCACUACAUCGAUUAGUCAUAUCGAUUUAAGUCUAUUUCGAUAUAAACUAAGUUGGAUGCUUAUUGAUUUUAUGUUUUAUCCUUUUAGUAAAAAAUUAACUAUACCAUAUAACGUCAAGUUUAAUAGUAACACAGAAUAUAUACAUGAGUUACUUCAAAUAUAUCAGAAAGAAAUAGAAAAAGGAAUAAUUAAUCAUUAUAUUUCUGUUACUCCUCACUUUUAUAUAAUUAAUUUUAGAUGGUAUGAUGAUAUCUUAUGGAUAUUAGUUCGUUAUGUUUAUUAUAUAUUAAUGUCUUAUAAAAUAUAUGGGAUACCUCAACAUUAUGUAGAGGCUUAUUUAUGUAUUCCGUUAAGUAUAGGUUACAAUGAUUUGCGUAGUACCAUUAGUAAUAGUAUGACUAGUACUACUACUACUAGUAGUAGUAGCAGUAGCAUUAAUACUAAUCCGAAUGAAUGUAAAUCCUAUAACAGUAAUUUACCAAAUGGUCAUAAUAACAACUUAAGCAAUUCAACUAUAAAACGAUUGUUAAAUAUAAGAAAGUUAAGAAACAAAAAUCACAACCUGAAUAAUAUUUGCAAUAAUAGUUUUAAUAAUCAAAAUGUAACUAAUACGGACUCUUAUAUUUUAUCAAGUGAAUAUCUUUUAAAAAUAUUUGAAAAAAUUAAUGAAUUAGAUUAUGUUUUUUGUAAAUUAAUUAAUUUUUGUCGUUUAUACCUGAACGGUAUUUUGCCUUUUGUUUUUUCCAAAAUAAAUACAGUACAUUAUGGUAUAUUAUCCGCUGAACAAAUAAAUAAAUGUCAAAUAAUUAUGAGUAAAAGUAGAUAUUUUUUAGCAGUACCUUAUAUAGGGAAAGACACACCAUCUAAUAUGUCCGAGUUUACCAACGUUGACGUUGUUGUUUCUUUGACCAUUUUGUCAUAUAGAUAUCAAGGUAUGAGAUAUUUUGAUUUUAUUCUUGCACUUAAAAAUAUUUUAUAUAUAUAUACAAUGGAAAAGGAUGCGCAGCAUAUUAAAAAAAGCGACACAAGUGAUAGUUCAGAAUAUUCAGAGGAUAAGUCAAGAAUAACGAAUAGUGAUGAUACUCGAAAGAAAAAAGUUCAAAAAAGAAAAAAGUUAUUCAAACUAAAUAAAAAAAUGGGAAAAAAAAUGAUAGACGCUGUUACUUUGGGUGGUGGUAGUACUGCUUCUGACAAUGUACAUGCGGAAAAAAAAAAAAAUAUAUAUGUUAAUGAUCAAAAUUGUGUAUCAAAAAAAAUGUGGCAAAAAAAUGUAGGUGUUAAUCAAAAUAUAACUACAACUGAGGCAAAAAAAAUUGAUAAUAAUGAUACAUAUUUUGGUAAAAAUGAAAUCAGUCAAGAUAAUAAGCAAAGUGUUUAUUAUGAGAAGAUUCACACUGAUGGAAAGGGUAUGUAUCAAAGUGGCUCUUACGACAGUACCACAAACGGUAGUACCACAAACGGUAGUACCAAAAACGGUAGUAGCACAGACGGAGGUAGCACAAACGAAGGUAGCACAAACGGUAGUAGUCCAAACGAUAGUGACAACUACAAUGUUCAACACGGUAAUAACGAAAGACAUAAACCAGACAAACGUAAAACCACGACUCGCCCAAAUAUAGAAAUAAAAAACAUGUACGAUUUAUAUAAAGAAAUUAUCGAAACAAGUGGAGCAAAGAUUAGAAGAACAAAAAAGGAUAUCAACAAUAGCAAUUUUUUUUUAUAGAAAAAAAAUUUAAAAAAAAAAAAAAAAAAAUAGAAAAAGAGAGUAUGGUCAAUAUGUGAGCAGUCUUGAUAAAAUAGAUUUAAAAGAUAGUGAACAUUUAUACUAUCUUUAUAAUUUAACACGUAAAAAUGCGUUAUUAAUUAGUUAUUUUUUAUUAAAUAUAAUAUUAGAGAAAUACAUAAAACAUACAGAAAAACAACUAUCUUCGAAUUCUCAAGACUUGACAAACAAUAUUUUAUUUAAAUAUGUAGUUGGAUAUAGUGGUACGAGUAAUGAUGUGUUACCAGAAGAAAUACAUAAAUGUAAAUAUGAAAAAAGAACAAUAGGUUCUAUUUUAAAUAUAAUUAAUGAUAUAAAUAUUGUUAAUUUUAUUUUUUUACCUUCAAAAAUUACACCUAUAAAUAUAUUAAAAGGUUUUAGUUAUACUAAAAUAAAAUUCAACAGUUUAAUUGAUACA